GGACAGAGCCCGUGAAUCCGGGCGUACGGAAUUCAGUUUCGACGUCGGCCGCUUUCGCCGGCGGUCGACGUCGUUUCGAUAUUUCCGUCGCCGACCGUAACUGGUGCGGACGUCGCGACCCGUUCGUCGUCGGUCUGACGAGUCGCGUAUCGAGUUCGUCGCGCGUCCGCGUGCCUCGUGUACGUCGGACGUUCGACGAGGGCGCGAACUUCGGGCCGGCGUCUAUUUUUGGCGGACGGUAGCUGCAUGCGCGGGUAAUCGGCGCGGCCGAUCGGCGGGCGGUAAAACGUUCGUCGGGCGCCGCGUCGACGCCGGUCAGCGACGA
rnacentral:rRNA from 1 species